CAGUCGCCGCGGGAAAACGGAGGGUGCAAGCGUUAAUCGGAAUUACUGGGCGUAAAGCGUGCGUAGGCGGUUCGUUAAGUCUGUUGUGAAAGCCCCGGGCUCAACCUGGGAAUGGCAAUGGAUACUGGCGAGCUAGAGUGUGUCAGAGGAUGGUGGAAUUCCCGGUGUAGCGGUGAAAUGCGUAGAGAUCGGGAGGAACAUCAGUGGCGAAGGCGGCCAUCUGGGACAACACUGACGCUGAGGCACGAAAGCGUGGGGAGCAAACAGGAUUAGAUACCCCCGUAGUCCCUGUCUCUUAUAC
rnacentral:rRNA from 1 species